GAGGUACUCCCUCCGUUCGAAAUUACUCGUCACCAAAAUGAAUGUAUCUAGAAUUAAAAUACAUCUAGAUACGUCCAUUUUAAUGACAAGUAUUUCCGAACGGAGGGAGUAGUUG
rfam:Triticum aestivum genome assembly, contig: Triticum_aestivum_CS42_TGACv1_scaffold_405487_5BL